AAGAAAGGAAAAAAGAAAAAGAAAAAGAAGAAGAAUAUGUAAACAUGCAGUUUCCUGUUUACAGAGGAGAAUGCUUCAGACGGAUCAUCAUGCUGUUCUUCACACAGUAAGACAAUUUCUUUAUCGCACGUCUCAUCAGUUUCUGAUAGUUGUGUGCGCACUCAGCAGAUGCUCCUAAAUGGUAUGUACAAGUUCAAAACAAAAUGGUGCUAAAAUUUUGCAUCAGAUAUGAUACAAUGUAUGGAUGAAGUUCCAAACUCCUGCAGG
rnacentral:lncRNA from 1 species